rnacentral:tRNA from 1 species
GUCAGAUUGGCCGAGCGGUCUAAGGCGCCAGACUUAAGUUCUGGUUCCCUAAAGGGAGCGUGGGUUCCAACCCCACAUCUGACA